CAGAAUCAUACAGUGGGGAAUUAUACUGACCAAAUUCAGCAACUGUGGAUGAUUAUUAUCAUCCUAUCUGGUCUGAUGCAUGGUAUUCUGGUCUUUGUAGUCAUUGGUGUAUGUUGCUACUCUAGAGAAAAAUUAAAACAUAGAGAAACAGAUAUAGAGCAGACUCAGUUUAUACGUCUGGAACAAGAGCCAAAGACAAUGUAUACUGAGGUGGUCUUUUCCUUGAUGCGUGAAGAGUUUGAACAAAAGCAGUGCGUUUCUCCUGCAGCCCAAAUAAUAAACAGGAAAGCAUGUUCUUGACCUUAUAUCAGCAGGUUGCUUUUACUUUUGUUUUAAAUGUAAAGUUCCAAAACAUAUAUUUACUUGCUCAAUUAAUAAAA